UAGCUCAGUCAGUUGAGCAUAGCGCUAACAACGCUAAGGUCGCGGGUUCAAUUCCCGU
rnacentral:tRNA from 1 species